rnacentral:tRNA from 1 species
GAAGCUUUAGCUAAAGGGUAAAGCGAUUGAUAGACUGUGACACACUGUGUAUAAAUAUUUGGGUCUAAAAGCCCAAUCUUAUAUGCAGUGGUAUAUCGAUAGAUCAGGGUUCGAAUCCUUGGGUCUUCA